UUGACCUCAAAUCAGGUAGGACUACCCGCUGAACUUAAGCAUAUCAAAGGC
rnacentral:rRNA from 1 species